GACGAACGCUGGCGGCGUGCCUAAUACAUGCAAGUUGAGCGCUGAAGGUUGGUACUUGUACCAACUGGAUGAGCAGCGAACGGGUGAGUAACGCGUGGGGAAUCUGCCUUUGAGCGGGGGACAACAUUUGGAAACGAAUGCUAAUACCGCAUAAAAACUUUAAACACAAGUUUUAAGUUUGAAAGAUGCAAUUGCAUCACUCAAAGAUGAUCCCGCGUUGUAUUAGCUAGUUGGUGAGGUAAAGGCUCACCAAGGCGAUGAUACAUAGCCGACCUGAGAGGGUGAUCGGCCACAUUGGGACUGAGACACGGCCCAAACUCCUACAGGAGGCAGCAGUAGGGAAUCUUCGGCAAUGGACGAAAGUCUGACCGAGCAACGCCGCGUGAGUGAAGAAGGUUUUCGGAUCGUAAAACUCUGUUGGUAGAGAAGAACGUUGGUGAGAGUGGAAAGCUCAUCAAGUGACGGUAACUACCCAGAAAGGGACGGCUAACUACGUG
rnacentral:rRNA from 1 species